rnacentral:lncRNA from 1 species
UUUACAGACAGGAAAUCAAAGCUGUGAGAGGUUAAAUCGCUUGCCUGAGAUCAUCCUGCAAAUCUGAUGGAGACAAGACUGAGUAAAUAGUGAAUCUAAAGCUUCAGACAGCAGUUCUGCCUCCACUUAGGUUAUAGGAUGAUUUGUGGUCUAGUGGCACUUUUUAUCGCACAUUUACAGCAUGUCAAUGUAACCGUUAAUGCACUGUAAAAAUGCUUCUUUGUAAGAAAUAGUGUGGUGGUUUCUUUAUUUUCAUUUUAAAAAUUCUUAUGAGUGCCAUGCUAUUUUGGAUCACUGACUAGUUUUAGUAUUUUCCUCAUUAUUUGUGACUACUUACAAACUGUUUAGCCAUUGCCAUGUUUAUAAUUUGAAUGAGGUAUAGUUAGCAAUGAGUUAAUCUUUUUUAGUUUUGUUUUGUUUUUAAUGGGCUCUUUCAAUUUGUGGAAACGUAGAAUUUGUUUCCAUGGUAACUUUUAGGCUUCAAGGCUUGUGGGAAAAAGACUGGUCUUGAAACAAACUUCUGCAGAAGAGAUUGAGCCUGAAUCCUCAAAUGUGCUGCGUGCUCGUUUAUGCUAGCCUUUCACCAACCAAUGAUGGAAGGAAAACAACACUGGAAGAAGUUGUCCAUUCAGUUGGCUAUCGGAGUAGCCACAUGCAGAUGCUGGGCCACUGUGGCAUAGACUGGAGAAUGUGAGUACCUUCUAUUUUCUUGCACUCUUCUAUGUUUCAAGCUUGCAGAGAGUCAGCUC